rnacentral:rRNA from 1 species
CCUACGGGUUGCACCAGUAGGGAAUCUUCCGCAAUGGGCGAAAGCCUGACGGAGCAACGCCGCGUGAGUGAUGAAGGUCUUCGGAUCGUAAAACUCUGUUAUUAGGGAAGAACAAAUGUGUAAGUAACUAUGCACAUCUUGACGGUACCUAAUCAGAAAGCCACGGCUAACUACGUGCCAGCAGCCGCGGUAAUACGUAGGUGGCAAGCGUUAUCCGGAAUUAUUGGGCGUAAAGCGCGCGUAGGCGGUUUUUUAAGUCUGAUGUGAAAGCCCACGGCUCAACCGUGGAGGGUCAUCGGAAACUGGAAAACUUGAGUGCAGAAGAGGAAAGUGGAAUUCCAUGUGUAGCGGUGAAAUGCGCAGAGAUAUGGAGGAACACCAGUGGCGAAGGCGACUUUCUGGUCUGUAACUGACGCUGAUGUGCGAAAGCGUGGGGAUCAAACAGGAUUAGAUACCCGUGUAGUC